UCCAACUUAUCGCUGGCGGUCUCCUGAGAGUGCUUCCCUUACGGGAGUGGCAACACAGGACAAGGGUUGCGCUCGUUGCGGGACUUAACCCAACAUCUCACGACACGAGCUGACGACAGCCAUGCAGCACCUAUACUACGGUCUCUUGCGAGAAGAUCUGCUUUCACAGACUGUCCCUGGCAUGUCAAGGGUAGGUAAGGUUCUUCGCGUUGCGUCGAAUUAAACCACAUGCUCCACCGCUUGUGCGGGCCCCCGUCAAUUCCUUUGAGUUUCAGCCUUGCGGCCGUACUCCCCAGGCGGGGCACUUAAUGCGUUUGCGACGGCCCUCAAGGGGUCGCUCCCCCAAGGACCUAGUGCCCAUCGUUUACGGCGUGGACUAC
rnacentral:misc_RNA from 1 species